CGAACGAAACUUUUUUUAUCACCGAGUGCUUGCACUCACCGAUAAAGAGUUGAGUGGCGAACGGGUGAGUAACACGUGGGCAACCUGCCCAAAAGAGGGGGAUAACACUUGGAAACAGGUGCUAAUACCGCAUAACCAUAGUUACCGCAUGGUAACUAUGUAAAAGGUGGCUAUGCUACCGCUUUUGGAUGGGCCCGCGGUGCAUUAGCUAGUUGGUGGGGUAAAGGCUUACCAAGGCAAUGAUGCGUAGCCGAACUGAGAGGUUGAUCGGCCACAUUGGGACUGAGACACGGCCCAAACUCCUACGGGAGGCAGCAGUAGGGAAUCUUCCACAAUGGGCGAAAGCCUGAUGGAGCAACGCCGCGUGGGUGAAGAAGGUCUUCGGAUCGUAAAACCCUGUUGUUAGAGAAGAAAGUGCGUGAGAGUAACUGUUCACGUUUCGACGGUAUCUAACCAGAAAGCCACGGCUAACUACGUGCCAGCAGCCGCGGUAAUACGUCGGUGGCAAGCGUUAUCCGGAUUUAUUGGGCGUAAAGGGAACGCAGGCGGUCUUUUAAGUCUGAUGUGAAAGCCUUCGGCUUAACCGGAGUAGUGCAUUCCCCCCUGGGAGACUUGAGUGCAGAAGAGGAGCGUGGCACUCCAUGUGUAGCAAUGAAAUGGGGGGAUCUUUUGGAGAACACCAGUGGCGAAAGCGGCUCUCUGGUUUGUAACUGACGUGAAGGUUCGAAAGCGUGGGUAGCAAACAGGAUUAGAUACCCUGGUAGUCCACGCCGUAAACGAUGAAUGCUAAGUGUUGGAGGGUUUCCGCCCUUCUGUGCUGCAGCUAACGCAAUAAGCAUUCCGCCUGGGGAGUACGACCGCAAGGUUGAAACUCAAAGGAAUUGACGGGGGCCCGCACAAGCGGUGGAGCAUGUGGUUUAAUUCGAAGCAACGCGAAGAACCUUACCAGGUCUUGACAUCUUUUGAUAAUCCUAGAGAUAGGACUUUCCCUUCGGGGACAAAAUGACAGGUGGUGCAUGGUUGUCGUCAGCUCGUGUCGUGAGAUGUUGGGUUAAGUCCCGCAACGAGCGCAACCCUUAUUGUUAGUUGCCAGCAUUAAGUUGGGCACUCUAGCAAGACUGCCGGUGACAAACCGGAGGAAGGUGGGGAUGACGUCAAAUCAUCAUGCCCCUUAUGACCUGGGCUACACACGUGCUACAAUGGACGGUACAACGAGUCGCAAGACCGCGAGGUUUAGCAAAUCUCUUAAAGCCGUUCUCAGUUCGGAUUGUAGGCUGCAACUCGCCUACAUGAAGUCGGAAUCGCUAGUAAUC
rnacentral:rRNA from 1 species